AUCGGUUUCCUAUUAUUGAAUUGAUAUCUCUUCCUGGUUUGGAAAUACCAGUUUUAAUAAUGAUUUAUGAUUAAUAUAAGCAAUUCACAGGUAUGUAUAAACAAAUAUUACAAUAUAUGUGUAUCGAUUCUGAUAAAAAUAGAAUGUAAUUAAUUUUUUUCCCAUUUUUUUAACGAUAAAAAAGUGGAGAGCAAUACCGUUAUCUCCACGCUUAUCGGUGAAAGGUGAAAUUAUUUCUCUAAAUCAGUUCCGGAUCUAGGACAUUUUUAAAUUAUUUAUCUUUUUCUAUUCUUAUUUUUUGCUAGAUUAUACAUUUGCAAACAUAAAAAUUAUUACAACAAUUUGACAACUUUAUCAAGUAGAGACAUUUAUUCUUAGUAUGUUUUACUAGUUGCCUGCAUUUUGUAGCUGUACAUGAAUUCUGUUUUAAAUACAGAAUAUACAUCUAAAGAUUUUGUUUUCUGUUCAGACAUAUAGUUUGCCUUGUAUAUACAAAACAUUAUAAUUGUAAUCAAAUAAUUAAUUUCAUAGUAUUGUUCAUCAUUUAUUUUAUAACCCCAAACUAAAUUUUUUAAUGUUAGAAUAUUAUUAUUAAUAUUCAGUUUUUCUAAGAGUGUUUUUACUUUUCUCCAGAAAUUAUCAAGAAAGUGACAUGUUAGAAACAUGUGAUCAUAAUCCUCUGUGGUGUUGCAAUAAUGACAAUUUGAAAUAUCGCAUAUCUUCCACUUUUUCAAUAAAACUUUACAAGGUAAAAUAAAGUGUAGCAAUUUCCAACGGAACACUUUGUAUUUAUUAUCUUUUAAAAAAUAAUGAACAAACUUUAACAUAUUACAUGAAAGACUCUUAAUGUAUACAAGGUUAAGCUUUGUCUUCCAUUUAUAAAAACCAACAGGUAUUUCAAUUUCAUUCUUAAUUAAUAUAUUAUAAAUUUUUCUGGUAUCUACAUUUUCUAAUUUUUCUUUUUUAUUGCAAUUAUCAAUAAUAUGUAUUGCAUAGGGCGUUUUUACUUUAGUUUUCUUUGAGUUUUCCUGUUUUAAAAUCUUUAACCAUUCUCUUGGAAAAGCUUUCUUUAAUUGGUAAAAUUCUGACAUCCAGUUACUUUUUAUUUUAAGCUUUUGUAAAAUAAAAUUUUCUUCUAUAUUACCAUUUUCAUCAAUGAUGUCAUUAAUAAAGAUAAAAUUACUAUUUAUCCAGUUUUGGAAUAAAAGGCAUUUAUUUUUUAUCUUUAAGAAACGAUUUCCCCAAAUAACUUCUUGACGUAUAGAUCUAAAGUUUUUUGGCUGUUGUACUUUUUUAUUAUUUAUCCAUGCUUUUACAAUGUUGAAAUAAAAUUUUGGCAGCUCCUUUAACUCUGGAAUAGAGUCAGUGUUAUCAAUAUUCAUGUGAAAGAUAAGGAAAUCUUUUCCAAACUUAUUAAAAUAAAAAAGUGGAAUAAUUUUCCAAUUUUUUAAAUCUCCAUUAAUUAACCUUUUGAUCCACCCAAUUUUGAUAGAUUCUAUAUAUUUAUCUAUGUUAAUCAUUUUUAAACCCCCAUCUAGUUCACCAAAACUUAGUACUGUGCGUUUAACCUUUUCUCUUUUGCUUUUCCAUAAAAAAUUAUAGAUAAUUUUUUUUAAAUUUAACAAUAUAUUCUUUUUCAAUAUGUGAAACAGAUGCUAAAAAGUAAUGUUUGGUAUGAUCAAUGAUUUGAUAACUGUUAUUUUACCGAUCAUUGUUAAAUGUCUUUUCUCCCAAUUUUUUAUAAUCUUUUCAGACUUUUCUAUUUGUUUUUUCUGCAUUAAGUUUUUGACAUUCAUUUUUGUUACAACCGAAAAAAAAUUCCUAAACAUUCUACUGGUUUGUUUGUAAAGUUGAUAUUUUCAUAUUUUUCUUUGCAAUGUUUGUGUUUUCCUAACCAAAUUCCUUCUGUUUUUGAUCUGUUUAAUUUAAGCCCUGACAAAGUGCCAAAAAUUUCAAUCAUGUUUAAUACUUUUGAAAUGUCUUGUUUUGUUUUUAAAAAAAAGUGUGGUGUCAUCUGCAAGUUGACUGAUUUUUAAAGAAUGUGUUUUCCCAUCUAUUUUGAUUUCAAAUCCUUUAAUAUUAUUGUCUUGUCUUAUUCUACAUGCUAAUAUCUCGACAGCAAUAACGAAAAUUAAAGCACUGCACGGACAUCCUUGUCUAAUCCCUCGAAAAAUGUUGAGGGGUUCAGAUAUCCACCCAUUAUUGAUCACUGAGCUUUUAAUAUCUGUAUACAUAGUUUUUAUCCAUUUGAGCAUAGAAUCUUGAAAGCCAAAUUUUUUUAAUGCUGAGAACAUGAAAUCCCAUUCUAAAGAGUCGAAUGCUUUUGAAAAGUCUAAAAAUAAAUAAUGCUCCUUCUAUAUUAAAUUUUUCUGCAUAAUCAAUUAUAUCCUGGAUCUGUCUAAUAUUAUAACCUAUAUAUCUAUUUUUUAACAUACCCAUUUUGAUCUUCAUGGAUAAUUUUUGGUAAGACAUUUUUAAUGCGCUGAGCUAAUGAAUAUGCUAUUAAUUUUGUAUCAAUAUUUAAUAAAAGUAAUUGGUCUAUAGUUAUCUAAACUCAGUGGAUCAUUUUUUUUAUGGAUAAGAGAGAUAACUCCUAAUUUCUGAGAAGUUGUUAACUCCCCUUUUUUAUAUGAAAAAAUUAAAUGUGGAUACAAUGAAUUCUUUUAAUUCUUCCCAAAAUGUUCUAUAAAAUUCUACGCUUAAACCAUCAAUUCCAGGUGCUUUGUUCAAUUUCAUCUUAAAUAGUGAAUCUGUACAUUCAUCUAUAGUUAAUUUUCCUUCCAUAAUAUCACUCUCUUGUGUUGUUAAUUUAUGAUCAAUAUUUGUAUCAUUAAUAUAAUCAUUUAUAAAUUUUAUAUCUGGAUUUGUACUUUUAUAAAUAUCUUUAUAGAAUUCUGUUCUCUAAUUGUAAAAUUUUGGAUGAGUCAGUUUGUAUCACUCCUUCUUUAUCUCUUAGUGCAGUUAUAGUUUUUCUUGUUUGUCUAGCUUUUUCCAAACCUAAAAAGAAUUUCGUAUUUUUUUCCCCUUCUUCUACCCAUUGAAUUCGUGACCUGAUUUGAGCUCCUUUUGUUUUUAUUUCAUAUAUUUUCUUUAAUUUAUUCUCAUUAUUAAUUAAUUCUUCAUGAAAAUGCUUUAUUACCUCAUCUUUACAAUGUUUAUUAAUGUUUUCAUUUAAUUUUUUAAUUUUAUUUUCCAAUACAUGUAUUUCACUUAUAUUCUGUUUUGCUUUUCUUUUACAGUAUUCAAUGGUGUAUUCUUUGACCUCAAUUUUGAAUAAGUCCCAAUGGUGUCCAAUAUUUUUGGUAAGUUUUGGAUUGUUUUUAUAUUUAUGAAUUAGGCCAUUUAUUAUGUUUUUAUAUUCAAUAUUAUCCAAAAUGCUGUUAUUAAUUUUAAAAUAUCCUUUCCCUUUUGAUUGUGAUCUCCCUUUCAACUUUAGUGAUAUAGCUUGGUGGUCUGUGUGAGAUAUAAGUGCAGGUCUUAUAUCUGCUGAGUAUAUAUGUGAUCUUAUUUCUGGGCAUAUAAGAAAGAAAUCUAUGCGAGAGGCUUCAUUUAUAUUAUUUUUGCGUCUCCAUGUAAAUUGUGUAUUGUUACUAUGUGUCUCUCUCCAAAUGUCUAUCAACUUUAGUGUUUUAAUUAGAUUUUUUAAACUGUUAACUGGUUUUUGUGUUUUUUUAUUUGUGCUGUAUUUUUUUCUGUCAAUAUUUGAUAGAGUAUCAUUCAUAUCUCCACCAACAAUUACCAUCCCUAAGCUAUUCUCUGAUAUCAUAUCCUUUACUUUUUUGAAAAAAACAUUUCUGUUCUUUGGUAAAUUUGGAGCAUAAAUAUUCACUAAAGUAUAAAUGCUAUCUUUAAUUUCUACAUUAAGCAAAAUUAUUCUCCCUUCUUUAUCUUGAAAUUUAUCAAUAAAUUUAUAUUCUAUUUGCUCAUUAAUAUAAAUUGACACCCCUCUUGAUUGUGAAUUACCAUAGCUAUUAUAUAUAUCACCUUUGAAUUCUUCAUUCAAAUCUUUCUCUAAAUUAACAGUGAAAUGGCUUUCUUGUAUAAAUAAAAUAUUACAAUGUUGAUGCUUCAUCCACAUAUGAAGUCUUUGUCUUUUAUCUUUUGAUCCUAGUCCCUGACAAUUCAAUGAACAUAUAUGUACAGUUUCACUCAUUAUUUGUCAUAAGUGUUUUAAUAAUAAUACAAUGUUUACCCAAAUCUAAUGUUAACAACAUAAUAAUAAUACCAGAUUCAAAGUCAAUAUAUAUUUUUGUAAAUCCAUAUAUUAUACACCUUCUACAUAUACUUGUUAAUUUAAUAAAAAAUAUUUCAUUAUGUAAGCAAUCCAUAUACAAACUGUAAACUAUGCUAUUAAUGUGUAUCUCAUAAUAUUGUGACAUUGUACUAAUUGUUGUUUUAUUGUCUAUUUUCAGUCGGUGUUCGACCUUGACUUUAAAAAUAGGUUGACCCAGUUUCACCUGUGAGGAAUUUAAAUGCCACAUGAAGUUCUUAAUUGGCCUGGUAGAAAAUUUUUGUGAUAGUGGAUGUGUAAAAAAACGUAAUCCAUGUGUUUUGGAAACUUUAAAUCUGCACUUAUUAUUCAUGGAUUUACAUAGGAAUACUAGAACUGUGUGAACACGUGUUACUAUAUAUGGCCAGUGGUUGGCUAAAAAUAGAAUUGGACUUUCCCUUGCUAUACAUCUUGCACAUAGCAAAGAUUUGCGAUACAUACUAUCACAUUUGAUAACAAAUGCGUUUUCAGUGAAUAUUUUAAUUAUUUUCACAAGGAAUAAUAAGUAUUGAAAAAAGUGAUUAAUUAUUAACUUCAUAUUAAGAAUUAUGUUUCUGCCAGAAAAAGAAGAUUCUAUUGUGCUUUUUAUAGCAUACAUAUACCAUAUAGGAAUAUUUUCCUUUUUCACAACAAACAUUUCUUUGACUUUCAAUUUGUCAUUUCUUUUUGGAUGUAUGCAAUCUGUAAUCACAUCACAUUCAUGUUUUUGUUUUUUUUC
rnacentral:lncRNA from 1 species